GAUGAACGCUGGCGGCGUGCCUAACACAUGCAAGUCGAACGGAGUCGUUUUGGCAAUCUCUUCGGAGAUGGAAUUCUCGACUUAGUGGCGGACGGGUGAGUAACGCGUGAGCAAUCUGCCUUUAAGAGGGGGAUAACAGUCGGAAACGGCUGCUAAUACCGCAUAAAGCAUUAAAUUCGCAUGUUUUUGAUGCCAAAGGAGCAAUCCGCUUUUAGAUGAGCUCGCGUCUGAUUAGCUAGUUGGCGGGGUAACGGCCCACCAAGGCGACGAUCAGUAGCCGGACUGAGAGGUUGAACGGCCACAUUGGGACUGAGACACGGCCCAGACUCCUACGGGAGGCGGCAGUGGGGAAUAUUGCGCAAUGGGGGAAACCCUGACGCAGCAACGCCGCGUGAUUGAAGAAGGCCUUCGGGUUGUAAAGAUCUUUAAUCAGGGACGAAACAAAUGACGGUACCUGAAGAAUAAGCUCCGGCUAACUACGUG
rnacentral:rRNA from 1 species